GCUUACGGCCACACCGCCUGGUUCACGCCUUUGAUCUCGGAAGCUAAGAUAGGUUGGGCCUGAUUAGUACUUGGAUGGGAGACCGCCUGGGAAUAACAGGUGCUGUAAGCU
ensembl:rRNA 5S_rRNA 5S ribosomal RNA